rnacentral:rRNA from 1 species
GAUGAACGCUGGCGGCGUGCCUAAUACAUGCAAGUCGAGCGAAUGGAUUGAGAGCUUGCUCUUAUGAAGUUAGCGGCGGACGGGUGAGUAACACGUGGGUAACCUGCCCAUAAGACUGGGAUAACUCCGGGAAACCGGGGCUAAUACCGGAUAACAUUUUGAACCGCAUGGUUCGAAAUUGAAAGGCGGCUUCGGCUGUCACUUAUGGAUGGACCCGCGUCGCAUUAGCAAGUUGGUGAGGUAACGGCUCACCAAGGCAACGAUGCGUAGCCGACCUGAGGGGGUGAUCGGCCACACUGGGACUGAGACACGGCCCAGACUCCUACGGGAGGCAGCAGUAGGGAAUCUUCCGCAAUGGACGAAAGUCUGACGGAGCAACGCCGCGUGAGUGAUGAAGGCUUUCGGGUCGUAAAACUCUGUUGUUAGGGAAGAACAAGUGCUAGUUGAAUAAGCUGGCACCUUGACGGUACCUAACCAGAAAGCCACGGCUAACUACGUGCCAGCCGCCGCCGUAA